AACGAACGCUGGCGGCAUGCCUAACACAUGCAAGUCGAACGAGACCUUCGGGUCUAGUGGCGCACGGGUGCGUAACGCGUGGGAACCUGCCCUUAGGUUCGGAAUAACUCCCCGAAAGGGGUGCUAAUACCGGAUAAUGUCUUCGGACCAAAGAUUUAUCGCCUUUGGAUGGGCCCGCGUUGGAUUAGCUAGUUGGUAGGGUAAAAGCCUACCAAGGCGACGAUCCAUAGCUGGUCUGAGAGGAUGCUCAGCCACACUGGGACUGAGACACGGCCCAGACUCCUACGGGAGGCAGCAGUGGGGAAUAUUGGACAAUGGGCGAAAGCCUGAUCCAGCAAUGCCGCGUGAGUGAUGAAGGCCUUAGGGUUGUAAAGCUCUUUUACCCGGGAUGAUAAUGACAGUACCGGGAGAAUAAGCGCCGGCUAACUCCGUG
rnacentral:rRNA from 1 species